rnacentral:lncRNA from 1 species
CAAAGAAUAUAGUACUAUACGGCUAACUGACAGAAAUAAUUUAGCAAUUUAACAUUAAUGCAAAAUGGGCGAUGAAAAACUAGUUCUUCACCCAAAAGCAUGGAUUUAAAUUGCUGAGUAAAUUUUGCACCUCUAAAACCUUCUCGUAAUUUCCUUGCAACAAAACUUAAAGAUGCAAGGGGCUACGUAGUGCAUAACGUAUGCAAUGAUUUUAGGAAUCAAAUCUAAGAAAUGAAACAAGAAACAAAAACCAGGAAUACACACAAACAGUUGAGAGGCGGCUACAUACUUGUGGGUUUCAUUUGCAGCGCUAGCGUCUUAAAUAAGAAAAAUUCGUGCACAUUUAGGGUUUUUUUUUUU